AUAAGAACUCCCAUGAAAAAUAAAAUUGAAAGACAGGGAAUACCUUUUUUUGGGUAUCCAACAUUUGAGAUUUUUUUUAAACAACUGGACGAAUCAAGUUUACUGUUUUUACUAUCUUCUGCAGGUAGCUUGUGUACAUAGCUAGAUGUAAUCCUAUACCUUUGGCUAUAUAUCUUCAUUUUAAUUCUAAGUUCAUUUGAGGUGGUAAUUAAGCUGGAUUGAUGUGUUGGGAACCAGAAACUGUGUUCUCUGAUCUUGCCUUCAUGUUAUUGAAAAGCAAAGACAUGAUGGAGAAAUUUGGAGUGACACUUAUUAUUGAAAAGCUUUUCUUGUUAUCGAUUUGGAGACUUUGUCAAACAGAUUUCCCAAGGUGACAACUAAUGCCGUCAAAGAAUAUGAUUCCCACAUUUAAAGAUGACAAUCCUGUACCUGAAAUAGUCAUUAGAAGGUGAAGUUGUAGAGAUGCCAUCAGACAACAAUUUCAUUCCUAUCAACUUCACUCAUUGAUCUUUAUCUGGAGAUACAUUGAGGAUUAAGCGGCAAUUGCCAUGAGAGAAUUGCAGUUCUGGGUUGGAUCUUGAAUGGCAGUUUCAGUCAAAACAAGCAACAGAAAUGCAGUCAUUUUCCACAUUUACUUUUGUUUUUUCAAAGAAAAAUAAGAUAGAAGAUUACUGUAAAAUCCCUAUAAUACCCUUACUCAUCUUUUUCUCAAACCAAACUUUAACCCUAACUUCCUAAAUUACCAACACACACCCACUCCCCCAAAUCAGAGAAGAGUGAGGAUUGGGAAGAAGAAGAGAGAGUCACGGAUCAGGAAGAGAGAAGGAGAAGGAGAUCGAAAUAGGGAAUGAGGGAAGGAGAAAGGAAGAAGUGCGAGAGAGGAGGUGCUGUCCCGCCGUCCUCGCCGUCGCCCCUGGAGACCGUCCCUGCCGCAGCCGGAGCUUCCACUGCCGUCGUCGAGGACUCCAUCGCCGCCACGAGAAGCCACCGCAUGUGGAAGAGAAAGACGUGACACAGAAAAGAGGAAGGGGACGACAUCUCGUUGCCGCCACGCCUUGUCGCCGCCGCUAAAAGGGGAGCUCCGUCGUCGCCGUCGCGGCUACGGGUAUGGGGCUUUGAAGAAGGAGAGAGGAGCUCGCAGAGGAGAGAGAAACGCAAUGGCCAGAGAGAGGAAAGUCUUGCGAGGAGGCGGGAGCUGGUAUGCUUCCGCUGUUGCUGCAGGCUGCGCCACCGCGCCUCUGGUCGCCGGGAACCGCGCUGACGUCAUCGGAAGCCACCGCCGGAAACUCUGCAAGUUUGCCCUAGCUCCGCUUUAUUUCUGCCGGUUUGUCCUUGCCGGUGAGGAUCACCGGAGCUGCUGAUGCUCCAUCCUCUUGUUUCUUUUGGGAUAUAUUAUUGAAAAGCAAGCAUAGGGAUUGAAAAUGUGACCUUUGUUCAUCAGCAUCAACAUUGCCACAAGCUCAUUCUAGUACAAGUCUAAGCCUACCACUAUAGCAAAAUCAUUUCCACAAGUAAUCUGCAAAGGACCUGCAAUUAUCAAGCAUCAGGACCUUAACCAGUUCUAAUUUGACUGCUCAAAGAAUUGUAUCAACUAUGCAAUCAUUUAGCUUCGUUGUUACUUGCUUGGAAAAUUAAAUUGUCUCAUGUAAUUUAAAAUAGAGUAAAUAGCCAUUUUGAUUGUCAACAAUUUCUGAUUUUGACAAAAAAUAGU